GCCGCGGACCUCAGUCCCCCGCCCCGACCCCGCUCCCGCCCGCGGCUGCGGCUCGGGCGUGCGCGUGGGGUCUGUUGUGGCAACCCCGGGAGACCGCGGGGCGCCCUGGCCGCCUCUGCCCCGCCCCGGGCUGCGUGGCUCACGGACCUCCCCCUCCCUGGCCAAAGCCGGCGGACGAGAAAGUCCCUGAUUUUUGUAAAGUCCGGUUCGGUCUGCACGGUUAUCCCGAACGCAGCUGGCUCCCGCCACAGAGUAUUUAUAAUAAUAGGAUUUGGAAAUAGAGGCUGCCUGCACAUCAAAACGUUUGCAGAGCAAACGAAAACUUUGUACCCGGGUGAUACGCCGGCGUCUGCUGCCCAGGCCACCAGUUCUGGGGCGCCUUCCGCCCAGGGGUGCACAACGGUAUCUCCGCCAGCUGCCCUCCAAGCCAAGAAAAGCCAGGGGGUGGGGUGGGGGGAGCAAAAGCCAACGGCUCGGGUGAAUCCCAGAGGCCAAAGGCACCCUCCGGAGACUCCAGGAAUCCUGUUAUUAUCCAGGACUCCGGAUUGCUAGGUUUGCGGAAGCCCAAAGGGGCGGGUCCUGAGCUUGGAGCUGUGGCCGCCGUGUGAGCCAUCGGCUGAUAGAUUUUCUCAAGGCCUUAAUCAUUCACUGGGAGUCUCCCCCAGUACGAGCUGCGUGUUUCUGAGUAAGCUCUUGAGGUCUCUGUGUUCUGAGUUUUCCAGUAUUCUGGAAGGUGUGGGUGGGGAUCAGAGUCCAAGCUGUGGAGUAGAACUGUCUCCAGAACCCUGGAGCCCGGCAUUAUGCAAACCCCUAACUGUGCCCCCUACAUAGAGUGAGUGUGUGUGUGUGUGUGUGUGUAAGUCAGUCUAUCUUACAGGACAUGCCUGAGAGGUUUGCAUGGGCUGGUGACUUCAACAUACCAAAGGCAAAGUUAAAUAUUUGCUCUAGAUACUUUUUUUUUUCAGCUUGCAUAAUUGUCCCACAUUUCAAAGAAGUCUUUAAAAGCACUUAGGUUAAAAAAAAAAAAGUUGUGUUUGGGGCCUGAAUAUUUCAGGACACACAUGGA
rnacentral:lncRNA from 10 species